rnacentral:rRNA from 1 species
AUUGAACGCUGGCGGCAUGCUUUACACAUGCAAGUCGAACGGUAACAGGCCGCCAGGUGCUGACGAGUGGCGAACGGGUGAGUAAUGCAUCGGAACGUGCCCAGUCGUGGGGGAUAACUACUCGAAAGAGUAGCUAAUACCGCAUACGAUCUAUGGAUGAAAGCGGGGGACCGUAAGGCCUCGCGCGAUUGGAGCGGCCGAUGUCAGAUUAGGUAGUUGGUGGGGUAAAGGCUCACCAAGCCAACGAUCUGUAGCUGGUCUGAGAGGACGACCAGCCACACUGGGACUGAGACACGGCCCAGACUCCUACGGGAGGCAGCAGUGGGGAAUUUUGGACAAUGGGCGCAAGCCUGAUCCAGCAAUGCCGCGUGCAGGAAGAAGGCCUUCGGGUUGUAAACUGCUUUUGUACGGAACGAAACGGCUCUGGUUAAUACCCGGGGAUAAUGACGGUACCGAAAGAAUAAGCACCGGCUAACUACGUG